UUUUAUGGAGAGUUUGAUCCUGGCUCAGGAUGAACGCUGGCGGCGUGCCUAAUACAUGCAAGUCGAGCGAACAGACGAGGAGCUUGCUCCUCUGACGUUAGCGGCGGACGGGUGAGUAACACGUGGAUAACCUACCUAUAAGACUGGGAUAACUUCGGGAAACCGGAGCUAAUACCGGAUAAUAUAUUGAACCGCAUGGUUCAAUAGUGAAAGACGGUUUUGCUGUCACUUAUAGAUGGAUCCGCGCCGCAUUAGCUAGUUGGUAAGGUAACGGCUUACCAAGGCAACGAUGCGUAGCCGACCUGAGAGGGUGAUCGGCCACACUGGAACUGAGACACGGUCCAGACUCCUACGGGAGGCAGCAGUAGGGAAUCUUCCGCAAUGGGCGAAAGCCUGACGGAGCAACGCCGCGUGAGGGAUGAAGG
rnacentral:rRNA from 1 species